CUUGACAUCCAGAGAAUUUAGCAGAGAUGCUUAGUGCCUUCGGGAACUCUGAGACAGGUGCUGCAUGGCUGUCGUCAGCUCGUGUUGUGAAAUGUUGGGUUAAGUCCGCAACGAGCGCAACCCUUAUCCUUUGUUGCCAGCACGUAAUGGUGGGAACUCAAAGGAGACUGCCGGUGAUAAACCGGAGGAAGGUGGGGAUGACGUCAAGUCAUCAUGGCCCUUACGAGUAGGGCUACACACGUGCUACAAUGGCGUAUACAAAGAGAAGCGACCUCGCGAGAGCAAGCGGACCUCAUAAAGUGCGUCGUAGUCCGGAUUGGAGUCUGCAACUCGACUCCAUGAAGUCGGAAUCGCUAGUAAUCGUAAAUCAGAAUGUUACGGUGAAUACGUUCCCGGGCCUUGUACACACCGCCCGUCACACCAUGGGAGUGGGUUGCAAAAGAAGUAGAUAGCUUAACCUUCGGGAGGGCGUUUACCACUUUGUGAUUCAUGACUGGGGUGAAGUCGUAACAAGGUAGGCGUAGUGCU
rnacentral:rRNA from 1 species